rfam:Medicago truncatula strain A17 chromosome 6, whole genome shotgun sequence.
AUAUAAGCAAAAAUUCAUGUUUUAGAUUCAUUCAAUAAAUGAUGUAUGUUGUUUACAAUAAAGACCACAUACAUCAUUUAUUGAAUGAUCCUAAAACAUUGAUUUUUGCUUAUAU